rnacentral:rRNA from 1 species
AGUAACACGUAGUCAAUCUACUCUUAGGUAAGGGAUAAUCCUGGGAAACUGGGGCUAAUACCUUAUAGGUUUUGGAUACCGGAAUGUAUCAAAACUUAAAACUCCGGUGCCUAAGAAUGAGACUGCGUCGUAUCAGGCAGUUGUGAGUGUAAAAUACUCACAAACCUAUAACGCGUAGGGGCCAUGAAAGUGGGAGCCCCGAGUUGCAUUCUGAGACAUGAAUGCAGGUCCUACGGGACGCAGCAGUUGCGAAAACUUUCCAAUUCGUUCGCGCGUGAGAAGGGAACCUUGAGUGGGCAUGUCAAACAUGUCCUUUUCUUAAUUCCAAAAAGCUUGAGGAAUAAGUGGUGGGUAAGACAGGUGCCAGCCGCCGCGGUAAUACCUGCGCCACAAAUGGUGAUCACGUUUAUUGGGUUUAAAGUGCCCGUAGGCGGUUUAGCAAGUUCUUGGUGAAAUCUGUUAGCAAACUGACAGGCAUGCCGAGAAUACUACUAGACUCGAGACUGGGAGAGGAUGAGGGUAUUCCAUGGGUAAGGGUUAAAUCUAUUAAUCCAUGGAGGACCGCCAGUGGCGAAGGCGCUCAUCUAGAACAGGUCUAACGCUGAGGGACGAAAGCGUGGGGAGCAAAACGGAUUAGAUACCCGUGUAGUCCACGCUGUAAACGUUGUCUGUUUGGUAUUGCAGUUUUCUCGUGAAAUUGCAGUGCCGGAGCGAAAGUGUUAAACAGACCACCUGGGGAGUACGUCCGCAAGGAUGAAACUUAAGGGAAUUGGCGGGGGAGCACACAAGAGGUGGAGACUGCGGUCCAAUUGGAUUCGACGCCGAAAACCUCACGAAGGUUGACAGCAGUAUGAAGGUCACUCUAAAGGGGUUACCAGACACGCUGAGAGGUGUUGCAUGGCCAUCGUCAGCUCGUAUCUUGAGACGUGCCGUUAAGUCGGUUAACGAGCAAGACCCACAUCAUCAUUUGCCACCCUGUUUCUAUUUGGAUUUAUCCGAAAAACAAACAGGAGCACCAUGAUGAAACCGCUACUGAUAAAGUAGAGGAAGGCGUGGUCUACGAUAGGUCCGUAUAGCCCGGAUACCUUCGGCUACACGCGGUCUACAAUGACUGGGACAAUGCGUUGCAACUCCGAAAGGAGAAGCCAAUCGCCUAAACCCAGCCCUAGUUCGGAUUGAGGGUUGCAACUCACCCUCAUGAAGCUGGAAUCUCUAGUAAUCGAAUGUCAUUAUCGUUCGAUGAAUACGUCCCUGCUCUUUGCACACACUGCCCGUCAAGUCAUGGGAACGGGUUCUUGGUGAGGCUUAACUUUAAUUAAGUCGAGCCAGGGGCCUGUAACUGGGACUAAGUCGUAACAAGGUA